ensembl:misc_RNA Metazoa_SRP Metazoan signal recognition particle RNA
GCCAGGCGUGGUGGCGGGCACCUGUAAUCCCAGCUACUUGGGAGGCUGAGGCAGGAGAAUCGCUUGAACCUGGGAGACGGAGUGCAGUGAGCUGAGAUCGCACCACUGCACUCCAGCCCAGGUGACAGAGCAAGACUCCGUCUCAA